AUUUGUAGGAGUUCAAACUCCAAAUUGUGUUAGGCAAACUGUCUUUGAUGCCGUAGCAUUAGACUACCAACCUGUAACUGUUAUUGUGGAUGCCACAGCCGCUGCCACGCCUGAAAUUCAUCUUGCUAAUGUGUUUGACAUGAAAAACAUUGGAGUCGCAACCCCAACGCUACAAGAAUGGAUCGACUUCAAAGCUUGAUGUCAAGGUGGAGCAGACAAGUUGGUGUGCCUUGAUGAUGUUCAAUUCAAGAUUCAAAAACUUGUUUAAGAAUCUGUUUAUAUCUUAUAAAACUAAGAAUAAUUUAUAUUGCCGUAGUAAACAUCACAACUUAUU